GAUACACACAUCUACUUCCAGGUAUGCAUCGACAAAAUUUCUGAGCUUGUGAUCGCAAGUAGCACAAAUUCUUAAUGUGCAACAGUAAGAUGCAAACCGCAAAUAAAAAUAUAGAGAGGAAAAGCCAAGAGCUGCAGCUUUUUUCCCUUUGAGUGUUGGAACGCAUGUUCAAGGGCUAAACAGUUCCCACUAUAAUAUUUCAGGGGCAUUACAUUACAGCAGAAGUUGUACGGUGUCCAGGUUGGAGGUCCUUUCAGUUUUCAUACAUCAUUUACCUCCCACCUUCUUAUUUAUAUUCUGGAAUCCCGGCCAGCUGUGGUCAAACAUCUAAGUCCCGAAUAAAAUUAAAUGUGACGGCAGGCUAGCUAUUGGAGCAGCUAUUAUUAGAGCCUGAGGGAGUUUUGGCCUUAGCUGAAGAAGUAACUUCAAACACCGAAGGUUCCUGACGUCUACAGCUGGCUGAAGUCCAGUACCGUAAGAUAAUGCGAAACAAGCCUGUGGUCUUUUCCCUGAUUUCAGCAGCACUGUGUGUAUGGACCUUCAGAGGGUAUUUUGGAGGGAAAAGAAAGCGAUCGGGAAAAAAGUUCAAUUAUUUAUGGUGAGUAGAUGGAUUUAGAAGGUCUGCCUGCUUAGAGGCAUGACCAUGCAAAUCAGCUAGGCGGUUAAUGGACACAGAUAUCCUCUCACAGCCUUGGGGGUGUUUACAAUAUGUAUGUGCUAGAGGCAUGUAUUGCCCUUUGCACAUAAAAGAAAGAUGUAUUGUGCUGUUUUAAAUUUACGAUCCUCAUUAAAUUAACUCUGCAGUAGAAUAUUUAUGCACAUUAUCAAACACUAUAUAUUUUAUACAGUUGGGCACAUCUUCAGUGACACAAUACCCUGACUUUCCAAGGCAAGAGGGUUCAGCUGGGUCCCUAGUCCAGAACUUUCGGCUGAUUUUAUCCAUUUUUUUUACUGAUACUUACCUCCUUUUCAUGAGGCAGAUCCUUCACUCCAUACUUGUGACUUAUUCAUGCCAAACCUUCUUGGACCUCAGUAAGAGCUUUUCCUGGGAAACUUCUAACUGCAUGUCCAGCCACUUCAGACUCACAUGCGGAGCUGCUCCAUGGGCAAUGAUUUUCCAUUACUGCAACAGCCAGAAAGUGGAAGGACUCUAG
rnacentral:lncRNA from 1 species